CACCUCGCCCAUGUCAUUCCGCUCGCGACUCUCCGACGAUACACACACAAACAGUCCCCAUCUCUCUCACACACUCUCUGCCGCUAACUACUUACAUGUGUUCUUGGUAUAUACUCUCUACCGUUCACCCCCAGGGCACUGUUGGUCAUCAGCGUACCCUCAACCCUAUUCGCAGAUUCCCUGAUAUAUAGUUAGUGUAUAAAUACGACUUUUAUACGUCCCUACCGAAAAAAAUAAUAUCACGCUAUAUGCACUGCGAUCCUGCCACUGCGACUGUACUAUCCGACCCUAACCAGUACACACACCUCUACCUGAUCCACACCAAUCCACACACCAAUCCACACACCACAAGUUGGAUCCUAAACCCCCCCCCCCAAAACGCCUUCCAUAAAACGUAACAUAUCGACCCAGUGCCUCAGUCUGUGCUGGUGUAGAAGAGGAAGACGUGAUUAUAAGAGGUGCCAGCCAUCAACAGGUUAAUUAGUCUACAGGUAAAUUAAAUAGAUACCCCCGGCACCCGGAAUCAGCCGCCAACAGGUACCCGGAUUGCCAACAAAUAUCCGGACUCUGCCAACAGUACCCGGACUCAGCCAACAGUACCCAGGCUCAGCCAACAAGUACCCGGACUCUGCCAACAGUACCCGGACUCUGCCAACAGUACCCGGACUCAGCCAACAGUACCCGGACUCCGCCAACAGGUACCCGGACUCAGCUAACAAGUACCCGUACUCUGCCAACAGUACCCGGACUCACCCAACAGUACCUGGGACAACAUCAUUACCGUCAUGUUUCAUCACCUAGUGUCUCGCGUGAAGAGUGCCGCCAGGUUGGAUUUCAUGGUUGUGGAAGAUAUUAUCAACAGUAGCCCAACUCUCAAAGUGACCAGACAUCGAGUUCUAAGGAGUUGGAAAGAUGUCGCCCCUCGCGUCAGAUACCUAAGGAAGAAGAUGGAGAUGAAAUCAUUCCCAGAAGAUGAGCAAUACAAACGUUUUAAAUGAGGACCUCCUGACGAUUCUCCUCUCCUCGUUGCUUCCCUCAUCGUUAUCGCCAUCAUCAUCAUUAUCGUGUCUCUGUGUGUCUUAUCAUCAUCAAACAUCAUUCAUUCAUUUACACGAUACCUGUCAUUACUAUAAAUUACAUUUUUCACUUCCUGCUUCUCGUUGCUCCAUAACAGCUCACCUCAUCCUCACAACUCAUUCUCACUCCUCAACUUACUGUAAACAAACCCUCACUUCGUCUUAACACUCAUCAGCCAGCUAGUGUAGUUAGUGUUCAUGUUCACAACGUCGUAAGUGAACGUGAGGUGAAAUAUGCGACCCCGAACGACCUCGCUGACCAGAAUAGAUAGGUUCCCACCCAGUUGUCCUAAUGCAAGGCUUUAUACACACCAACAAUGGCUUCUUAUCGUCUAUAGUUUUUUGAAUCACUUAUAGUUUUCACAUUUCUUUUUACACGAGAAAGAAUCAUGUGAUCUUGGUAUAUAUAUAUAUUUUGUGACUCAUAUUGUGGUUCCUUGAUUCCUCUGUAUCUUUUAGCUCAAUAUUAAUAUGUUUAGGGUUUAUAUUAUGAAAGAUAAAGAGUAAUAAUUGUAGUGUUUCAGAUGAGGACUACACCUGGACUAAUGAGCCAGAUCUGGUGGUGUUUAGCAAGAGCCAGCGUUUUAACUGGUCCUGUUUUAGAUGUUAUUUUCGUCAGCGUUUUAGCUGUAUAGAAAAAUAUGGAAUCACACGAAGAUUAGACAUCCCCAGCUUAUAUCACAUGAAGAUUAACCACCCUAACGCUUCUUGGAUUGGGGUUAAUUAGCAUUAUUCAUCCUCAGGUGAAAUAAACUGAGGUGUCUAAUCUUCAUGUGAGACGGAAAAUGAUGGACAAACACUCCAACACUCCCCAGUACAUAUAGCCUGAGGUCUGUCUAGUCUCAGAGUACUGGUGGUACAGUGGGCAGUAAGUACACAGCAGUUGUCAAUGAGUGUCUGUGAUGGAAUGGUCAGUUUUGUAUCAAGCCUCAAGGCUCCCAUUACACACUUCAAGGGUAAUGGUACAAUGUUUAUUAGACCUACAGCGACUCUUUAAGGUUCAUUUGACUGUAUCUGAUGUUAAAACUAUACCCACCUGGUUGAGUUUAGCUAAAUUAAAAAAAAAAGUUAAAUAACUACAGUGAGACUACAUUAACUGGUUAAGGUUUAUUUGAGGAAUUUGUUAUGGUAUUUAAAGUAAUCCCAAGGAAACGUAUCUAGUUCAGAUAGAAUCUUAUUGUAUUUUGACAACUACCGAGACACCAGAAGUCGCAGUGUUCAUUUUGAAAUUCAUCGGACCCAUUCGUGAAGAUACUCGCUUAAUUGUGUGUACAUCCUCACCGACUAUGCUGUUGUACUGUACUAUGUUGUAAAAUAAACGGUUUUCGGAAUCAUUAGUUAAUUCCAUUUGUGUAUAUGUAUGUAACAAUAUGUAUUUACCAUCCUAUUGUAAAUGACUUGGAAUUACUGUGAAUUAUUUUUUAAUUUAA